rnacentral:pre_miRNA from 1 species
GUUUCACUGCUAUAAGAUAGUUUGAAUUUUUCACUGCUAUAACAUAUUAUAGCGGUGAAACAUUCAAACUAUGUUAUAGUGGUGAAGC